rnacentral:lncRNA from 1 species
GAUCAAAGCAAUGAGUGGUAAAAGUAUUGAUAAACAUACAGGUUUCGUAUCUCUCUGGACAACUGUAGCGUCAACAGGAUCCUGUAACUGCAGACGUGAAAACUUGAACUUUUUAAAAGAUAAAUGUAGCAACACAGAAGGAGUCUCUGAUUUGGCAUGCUACAUAAAAUAUAUCAAACAUAAACUUAUGUCCAUCUGUGAAUGGAAAGGAAACAUGUCAACCUCAUACACGCUGUACACAAAACAGAGAACAUGUAGUUGUAUAGCUGUACAUCAGAAGGACAAAAUUUGGACUUCCAAUUACUUUGUUGCUGUCUUAGAUUGGAAUAUGACGGCUCAUGUUAUUGCAACCAGUAAAGAUCAGCUCUCGUGCAC